rnacentral:ncRNA from 1 species
GGAGUGAACGAACCGCUGGUGUUCGGGUUGUCAUGCCAAUGGCACUGCCCGGUAGCUACGUCCGGAAUGGAUAACCGCUGAAAGCAUCUAAGCGGGAAGCCGGCCAAGAGAUGAGUCAUCCCUUGUACCUUGAGUACACAUAAGGGUUGUUGGAGACCACAACGUUGAUAGGUGAGGUGUGGAAGCGUAGUGAUACGUUAAGCUAAC